rnacentral:rRNA from 1 species
GAUGAACGCUAGCUACAGGCUUAACACAUGCAAGUCGUGGGGCAUCAUGAUGUAGUAAUACAUUGAUGGCGACCGGCGCACGGGUGAGUAACGCGUAUCCAACCUACCCUCCACUCAAGUAUAGGCUUCCGAAAGGGAGAUUAAUCCUUGAUAUCGUCAUUCUCUCUCCUGUUAGAAUGAUAAAAGGACAUCGUUUCGGUAGAGGAUGGGGAUGCGUUCCAUUAGGUAGUAGGUGGUUUAACAGGCCACCUAGCCGAUGAUGGAUAGGGGUUCUGAGAGGAAUAUCCCCCACACUGGUACUGAGAUACGGACCAGACUCCUACGGGAGGCAGCAGUGAGGAAUAUUGGUCAAUGGGCGCAAGCCUGAACCAGCCAUGUAGCGUGAAGGAUGACGGUUUUUUUGAUUGUAAACUUCUUUUCUGUGCGAUUAAAAG